rnacentral:rRNA from 1 species
ACAGCAGCAGCCGCGGGAAUACGAAGGGUGCAAGCGUUAAUCGGAAUUACUGGGCGUAAAGCGUGCGUAGGCGGUGAGUUAAGUCUGCUGUGAAAUCCCCGGGCUCAACCUGGGAAUGGCAGUGGAUACUGGCUCGCUAGAGUGUGUCAGAGGAUGGUGGAAUUCCCGGUGUAGCGGUGAAAUGCGUAGAGAUCGGGAGGAACAUCAGUGGCGAAGGCGGCCAUCUGGGACAACACUGACGCUGAGGCACGAAAGCGUGGGGAGCAAACAGGAUUAGAUACCCGUGUAGUCCCUGUCUCUUAUAC